CAAACUUUGCAUAUGUUGUAUGAUUGGCUUUCAACCUGGCAUUAGCCCUCAGAAAUUUGUGCUGACUUUUUGGUCAAGGCAACUUUUGGAAGAGAGAGCAGCCCUUAGUGAAACCUGGAAGGCUAGUUCAUGGAUAGAGAAACUUUAAAUAUUGCUUAUUUAAAUCUCAAGCAGCCAGUAAGAUUUCCCUAGGUUUGAAAAGUUCCUAGAGCAAGAAGUUAGAAGACAAGGGUUUAUAUAGGACUCUACAUCAUUAUGUGUGUCACUAAUCAUAAGCUAGACAUAAAUUAAACUACCAUCAUGUGAUGCUAUAAUUGAAUCAUAUGGACAAGAGUGCUAGGAACAUUAUAAAUAAAAGCAUGAAUUUGUCUGUCACUGAAUUGGCUUCUUGAUCUAUCUUAUACCUCAACUUAAAUACUUCAGCAGUCAAAGCAAUUUUCAAAAUAUAGAUAAAUUGUGCAGAUGACUUGCUAGAGAUAAUGCAUGUUUUUUGGUUCUUCUAACAUUUAUGUAAAUAUGAAUUUCAGUUCUUCUGUACCUAAUUGAAGCAAGUUCCUUCAACUCAUUGGAAUUAAAGAAGGGACUGUUUCUUCUUUAAUCUUUAAGAUACUAUUCCGUUUUGCCCUUUCAGAACAGGCACUAUGUGGCCAAUACUGAUGUGAAUUUCCAUGUUAAUUGGUGUUAUAAUCAUCAUUCUUUACAUCUGUGGUUUUGCUCUCCAAAAAGAUCGAAUAAAUAUCUCAUGUAAAAUUAAGGGAAACAUCAGUGGUAGGUAAAGGUGAUCCUCAAAUUAGUGGGCACUCCCCACAAAUUUGUAUGGCAUGCUGAGCUCAAUCAGAUUUAGAACUUUUGGAGAUGCACAAAUCAAAAUUGUCAGAGUUUGAGUUUUCUAAUUGUUAUUCUAGCAGUUAUGACUAUACAUGCUGAUAACGUUUCUUUUCUUCUCCUUGCUAAGAAAAAGGUGGCUCAGUGCAUGCGGCUCCUGCUAUUGUAGGGUCUAGAGAGGGCAGAUGUACGAAGCCUUGCCCCUCUGUGUGGAGAGGCUGUUUUCAUGUUUUGUACCUAAGACCUCCAAGUCACAUGGAACAAUCUCACCGUUGCGCCAAGGCUCACCGUCGUUUCUUCUCCUUGCUAAAUUUUCUUAUAAAUUCUUUUAGAUCAUCCAUAAUUUGAUUUUCAUUUACUCAGCUGUUGUCUCCUUUCAUGUUGGAUUUCUUUAUUGGUCCCAUAUGAUGCAGCGCCUGAGGACAUUUCUUCUGGGGCUCAUUAUUUGGAUCUGAAGAAACUGAUUAGGGAUGAUAUCAUAUGGGUUGACAAUGUUGAUUGGCUCUUAACUGCUACAAUCUAUAUCGAGGGAUGUGAAAUUAUUGGAAUAGAUUGUGAAUGGAAACCUAAUUAUGAGAGAGGCAGCGGACCAAACAAGGUAUCUAUCAUGCAGAUUGCUUCGGAAGAUCGAGUGUUCAUCUUUGAUUUAAUAAAGUUAUAUGAAGAUGAACUAGAAGUGUUAGGCAGUUGCUUUUAGCGCAUUUUGUGCUCUUCAAAUGUUCUAAAGCUUGGCUAUAACUUUCAAUGCGAUCUCAAUCAGUUGUCAUAUUCUUAUGGAGGACUUGGAGUGUUUUGAUUCCUAUGUCAAACUUCUCGAUGUUCAAAAGCUGUUCAAGGAGCCUAACGGUGGUCUAUCUGGGUUAGCAAAGAAAGAGUAUGCUGCUCUUGAUGCUGCUGUCCUGGUUCAUAUAUUCCAUCAUGUCUGUAACCAGUGUCAUUGUGGUGCUAUCAAGGAGAGAUGCAAAAUUGAAUGGAAAUCUCACAUUGUAUCCCGUAUUAGCAGCACAAGACAUAUGAACGUGUCAUAAAGUAGUGAAUAUGGCAAUAACAUCAAUUAACAAUUCAUUUCCAGGUUCGAGUCUUGGAGCAGCCAUGUGCCAAAAAAAAAAAAGGUUAGGUUUGUCUUUGGUUUGCCGCUGCCAAGGCUUCAGACUGUCGGGAACAUAACUGGUAUCAAUUACAGUAUCUGUAUCGGUACCAUGUUGGUUCGGUGUCAGUACAGGUCUGUUACUCGGUGUGCAUCUCGUACCGAGUAUUGUUCGCUAUCAAUACUGUACGACAUUACUAAUAUGGGAAGGCACAGUCUGGUUGCAAUAUUUUCUUCUGCAUGGCUUUCUGUUGGUAAUCUCACGGAGGGGGAUGCAUGUUUAGUCUAAGGCUUUGUAUAUGCUGUGUGGUUAAGAUUAUGUGUUGGUGAUCCUGCCAGCAUGCGUGGGGGUUCAACAUCCCACUCUUACAAAAAGGCAUAUUUCUGCAGAAAGGGAACUUCGACUUCAACCCAUGCGUCUUCCAGCUGCUUCAAUAAUUGUAUAUUCAAUUAGUCUUUUGACAUACAAAGAUAUCUUUGGUUUAAUUUCACAAUUAUUUUCUAAUGGAGAUUGCAACCGUCAAAUGGAAUGCCCAUAACUUCCUGUUUCCUCUUC